GACGAACCGUGCGAACGUUGUUCGGAGUCACUGGGCUUAAAGGGCGCGUAGGCGGGCUGUCGCGUCUGGGGUGAAAUCCUCCGGCUCAACCGGGGAAGGGCCUCGGGUACGGACGGCCUCGAGGGGGGUAGGGGCGUGCGGAACUGUGGGUGGAGCGGUGAAAUGCGUUGAUAUCCACAGGAACUCCGGUGGCGAAGGCGGCACGCUGGACCCUCACUGACGCUGAGGCGCGAAAGCCAGGGGAGCGAACGGG
rnacentral:rRNA from 1 species